GUUUCUGUGAAAGGAUCGCUUUGAUGAUCAAAGUGGAUUUGGUACUAAACAUUUGACUAAAUUUUUAUAUCGAUUGAUGAUGCCAGGAAAGUUGCAAGUUAACUGCUCGGCUGUUUUAAAUUUAGCGUGAAUCAUUGGGUCAUUUUACAUUUUAUAGUCAAGGAUCAGGUUUUAAAUUGACUCGCUGGUUAUAAAAACUAAUUUAUGAGCAAAGAGUACGAAAAGGUUUAUUAUUUUAUCUAGAAGUUGCACAGAAAGAGAAAAGAUUUCAAGUGAGUUUCAUGGUUUUACGAUUUUGAAGAAAAUUAAAGCAAUGUAAAAAAGACAAAAAUAUCAACGAUUUAUUUUAAUAAGUUGAAAGAACAAGUAAUUGCAUCGAAAAAUGUUGAACCAAAAAACAUGAAAAUAAAUGAGCAUGAUGUUCAACAGAAAAUCAAAGUGAAUUUACUGGGCGAAAAGAAUGGAAAAUUUUGGCAGAAAGUAAAUGAUAUCGAGUUUAUAAGUCAAUGAACCAGUUCUGAUAGGAAUCCAUGAAUGAUAAGUGAUGCGAAACAAUUUGAACAUUUUUUGCUUCUUUUCCAUUUUCUUACCUUUUCUCUUGUUUCUCAAUUUACCUUGCCAGUGAUAUUUAUUGCUAUUGAAAGUGUAAUUUGUUCAAGUUGACUACAAAAUAAAUUUUUGUGAAUAAAAAUUUCAUCAAAAAAUGGUCACAAUCAGUCAUGAAACUGGGAACCUGGAAAAUGUAGAGAAUCAAGUGAGCUCAAUUGGCCAGGAUAACUGAGAUCUAAUAUUGAAUCACCUUGAAUUGUGAAUAACUUGUUUAAUGUUAUUUUGUUUUUCCUUCAAUCUUCAAGUUUAUCCAAUUUCAAAACAAUAUUAUCUCAAAUGAUCUGUUCAUUUUGUUUGCAGUAAAAAACCACCAGAAAAAAAAUUCCUUUUCCUUUGAUUCUGAAUACAUUUUGGUUGCAUUUUCUAUCGCAUUUCAUAGCAUCAACAACCAUUUCAUGAUAAUAUCGACUUCGAUGGAAUUUUUAUUCACUGAAUAACCAGUUUUUGCUUUUUUUAUUUUUUACCUUUUUCUCUAUUCUUGGAUUUCUGGUAUUAUUGGGUAAAAUUUUUAUUUCAUUUUUUCUUUAUUCUGUCUUAGAAUUUAUAUCAUUACAUGACAAAUUCAGUAGUCGAUAACAAUGCAUAUAGUCAGGAUAGUUUCAUUGGAUGUAAUGAUAAAGAGAGACAACAAUGUAUAAUGUAACCAGGUUACAGUCGUACAUUUAUCUGUACAUAAAGUGUUCAUUUUAUGAGCAAAAAAUACUGAUUCAACAAAAGAUUCAUCUUUCAUAAGCAUUUCCAUCAAUUCUUCUGGCUAAGAAUCGAUCACAAAAGGAUUUCUCUGGAAUUCAAUUUGACCAAAAAAAGAUGCAAAAAUUUCGAUCGUAAAAAACUUUAAUUAUGUAAAUGGAGUGCACUUUUAUGCGUCUACCGAUUUACCAAGUUUUAACUCUUAGCAAACAGUCUCUCAUUGAACACCUUACAAUGAUUGAUUAUGUAGCCAACUAGUCAGUUACAGAUAUUAAGAUCAGUUCAACUCUACAGAUUUGUGUCACUUUGAACAAACUGAACAAUUUUUAGCUGAUUGUCGUGUUCAAAAUAAACAAAUAACUGUUGAACUUGCAACGAAUGAAUCAAAACAAAUAAAAGUAAAAGUAUAUUGGAAUCAAAAGAUAAAAAAUAUCACGAUUUCUAGUUAGCAGCUUACAAAGUCAAUUUGUUGAAAUUUGUAAAUCAAUUAUUUUUAGUUUAAUUAGAACGCUUGUUUUAUUAGGUUGUGUAAGUCAAUCAUGUAACUGUGGUUUUUCAAAACAUUUACCACCGCCUGAAAUUGAGCUUUUUGCCAGAGAACAGAGCUAUAAUAUAUAGCUCCAUUCAAAACGGCACAUGACGAAGCCUUGACUUGUGGACAAUUGAUUGUAUCUCGAGGAUUCAAAUAUGAACGUCACUUCGUAACAACAGAGGAUGGUUAUAUACUUACAUUGUAUCGAAUAAUCAAUCCAAAUGCUCAAGCAGCUCGAGGAUCGAAACUCAUUCCUGUUUUAUUAGUCCAUGGAAUUUUUACUUCAUGUAGUAGUUGGAUGAUCAAUGGAUUUGAUGGAUUCAUAGAGCCAUGGGUCGACGGAAAGCCACCCAAUGUCACGUCAAAAAAUCUUGCCUUUGUUCUGUAAUGAUGAGUUUGAUGUUUGGAUAGCAAAUAACAGAGGAACUGCGUACUCAAGGAACCACACUCGACUUGACCCUGAUACAGGUAAUGAAUUCCCUUGUGAAAUAUAUUUGACUAACACAAGUACAUAUCGAAUAGAUCCAGAGUUUUGGGACUUUACCUUUUCCGAGAUGGGUGAAUAUGAUGCACCAGCGAUGGUUGAUUAUAUUAUUGAAGAGACUGGGCAUGAAAAAAUUGUAUGGAUUGGCUAUUCAGAAGGAACUACACAAAAUUUUAUUCAAUUAGCAAUGAAUCCAGCUGCUGCUGAUAAAUUUUACCUGAACAUUAACAUAGAGCCAGGAGCCUUUUACGGAGAAUCUAAAGGUCUAUUAACUGUUAUCCCUCGAAACAGACUCGUUUUUGGAACUUUAGACGACUAUGUUGGCCCGUUUUCACCGUCUUUACCUGAAUUCGAUGCUUUGCUUACCAUAGCCACCAUACCAUGUACCAUUGAAGUGAUAAAACCAAUUUGUAUUGAAAUUUACCUUUUUGGAGUAGAUCGACGAAUGAUUGAUAAGAAGCUAUUCCAAGUUUUAACAAGCCAAAUUGAUACAACUUCAACCAAAAAUCUUAUUCAUUAUCUGCAAUCAGUGAAAUAUGAUCAAGUAAGUAAAUACGAUUAUGGUCCAGAGAUGAAUCAAGAAAUGUAUAGUUCAGAUGAGCUACCCAAGUACCCAUUUGAAAAUGUACCAACAUGUAAUUUAGUUCUGAUUGGUGGAUUGAAUGACUAUUUUUCCGAUGAAAAGGACUUUCAAAAGCUGAGAAACAUCUUGAGGAAAGGAAACUCAACAAACUUUUGUCCUUGCAAGUUGCAACUCCAGCAACAGACCCUUUAUUGAUCACGUUAUCACCUAUCCUGACUGGUCACACACUGACAUUAUCUUUGGUAACCAUGCAUAUGAAUAUGCACAUUCGGUGAUUGUUGAUAUACUUCGCGAAAAUUUACCCUGAAAAUACAAUUAUUAACACUCAUUGAAAUCAUUGAGAUCAUUGAAAUAUAACAAGUCGAGGAAUCCGAUUGUAAAUAGAUUUACUUCAAAGUGUAUUUAAGGAUACAAAAUUUCAUUUCAAUGGCUCAUCUUUUCCGAUGCCAAUUUAAGAUUGAAAUAAAUGUUUUUUCAAACACAAAUAAAUGGACAUUUGAACUUUAUUUGAUGAGAUGAACGGGUGUUUAAAAUAUUCAAUUGUUACUUGCAAUGAAAAUGUUUAUUUGAAUUUAUUGAAAUGAAAUUGCAAUAGCAGAACAAAUCUGCCAUCUGUUGUCAUAAUUUUGAAACUUUGACUGGAGACCUCGUCAUUAUUAGGUAACUAUGGAAAUCAUUUCUGUGCCUGAUGACAAUUUGUUUUUGAUUGUUAACAAAUUGUCGAUUAAUCAGUUAUUGUUUGAUUCAUUGAGAUGAUAACAUUUUAAGUCAUCUGUCAAUCUGGAAACGCCUUUCCUCUUCUGUUUCCCUUUUUCUAGUGUAAUUUUGUUAGGUUCAGUUUGAAUUUUGUCGUUGUUAACGGUUAAUUUGUUACAGUAUUUGAUAUUUAUUUGUAUUUUCAAAG